UACGUAGGGUGCAAGCGUUAAUCGGAAUUACUGGGCGUAAAGCGUGCGCAGGCGGUUUUGUAAGUUUGUCGUGAAAGCCCGGGGCUCAACCCCGGAAUUGCCUUUAAGACUGCAUCGCUUGAAUCCGGGAGAGGUGAGUGGAAUUCCGAGUGUAGAGGUGAAAUUCGUAGAUAUUCGGAAGAACACCAGUGGCGAAGGCGGCUCACUGGACCGGUAUUGACGCUGAGGUGCGAAAGCGUGGGGAGCAAACAGG
rnacentral:rRNA from 1 species